rnacentral:lncRNA from 1 species
AGUCCCAGCUACUCGGGAGGCUGAGGCAGGAGAAUGGCGGGAACCCAGGAGGCGGAGCUUGCAGUGAGCCGAAAUCGCGCCACUCACUCCAGCCUGGGCGGCAGAGGGGAGACUCCGCCUCAAAAAAAAAAAAAAAAAAAAAAAAAAAAAAAAAAGCAAAAAACGCAGCAUCAAGGCGGGGCGGACUGAAAGGAGAGCAGUGCAGGAAGAAGCACCCGGGGCGCUGCCUGGGGCUCGGAAGCCUCCAAGGGGCCACGCCCAGCCUGGAAUAACCGACUGUGGAGACAAUGGAUGAAUGACAGAAAUGAAACAACUCAGGGAAAACCCAGCGGUGCGGGAGGCUGCGGUGGGACCCUGGCGAGCCGGACCCGGCUGCUGCUGCUCUGUAAGAAAAUAAAUCCAUGUCCACAAUAUCAGAAGAGAUGGGUGCUCUUGCGGGAGGUAGGAGGAUCCAAUUCCAACCACGUGCAGCUGCGUCGAGGAGGUGAUUUCAGUGGGCAGGACAAUGCACUUGCCUUCUCUUCCUGGAGAUUGACACUCGUGAUUGUUUUCACCGUGCACUCCAAGUGCUGUCUCCUCCAGGAGAGACCACGAACAGCGAAGACUCUUAAUCGCCUACUACAUGACCUUCUUCUCAUGGAAGAAUCAACCAACCCUUCCUCUACAGUGAAUGAGGGACCUGUGCUCUUCACCCACUCACUGUGCUAUUUCUCUUUGAAAUCAGUCAAUCUUGUGGUUCUUUCCCUCUAUUUUAUAAUUUUUUGACUAACUUUUCAAGGACUAUAAACAGCUUUUUUUUUUUUUUUUUUAGACUGAGUCUCGCUCUGUCUCCCAGGCUGGUGUGCAGUGGCCGGAUCUCAGCUCACUGCAAGCUCCGCCUCCCGGGUUCCCGCCAUUCUCCUGCCUCAGCCUCCCGAGUAGCUGGGACUACAGGUGCCGCCACCACGCCCGGCUAAGUUUUUGUAUUUUUAGUAGAGACGGGGUUUCACCGUGUUAGCCAGGAUGGUCUCUAUCUCCUGAUCUCGUGAUCCGCCUGUCUCGGCCUCCCAAAGUGCUGGAAUUAUAGGCGUGAGCCACCACGCCCAGUACUAUAAACAGUUUUAAUGCCUCUACCAUCUUGGGUAAAGCUUACCUAGCGUGAGCCCUACACGCUUAUGUACUUACAUUUACCUUCCCCACUUCAUGGAGUCCACAUCCACCACCGGACUUACCUGAAACCACACUGAUCACUCUUCAGUUCUUACAGCUCCCCUGAAAUGCUCUGGGGAGAAGAAAAUAAUGUCUUUCUCACCUCAAAACUCACACACUCUUUUUUUUAACAUCUUCCUGUCGCCAUUGACCUCAGAUUCCCUGGUACUUGGUCCACCACAUGGCUCCGUGAGUCCCUGAUUCUCACGACCAUGCGGUACACAGGGCGAGUGGCCUCUCCUGAAUGAACGCCUUAGAUGCCAACCCCUGUCAAGUUCAGCACGGCAAAGACACAGUGGGGACAGGGGCAUUGAGGUGGAGCUGAGGCUUCCCUGAUGGGAUAUUUUAAACCUGUUCAUUGCAAGACCUCUUCUGUCUAUGCUGUCACAAAAGGAAUAAAUAAGAUGUGUUUAUAAGUUUCA